rfam:Heterocephalus glaber contig239608, whole genome shotgun sequence.
AGGGAGCUGUGGUGAGGGGCCCUGAAGCAGGUCUGCAAAAAGGGGUGGGGAGGAGGAGAGAAGGGGCAGCCCCCAAAGAAAGAAAUGGGGC